GAUGAACGCUGGCGGCGUGCCUAAUACAUGCAAGUCGAGCGAACGGACGAGAAGCUUGCUUCUCUGAUGUUAGCGGCGGACGGGUGAGUAACACGUGGGUAACCUACCUAUAAGACUGGGAUAACUUCGGGAAACCGGAGCUAAUACCGGAUAAUAUUUUGAACCGCAUGGUUCAAAAGUGAAAGACGGUCUUGCUGUCACUUAUAGAUGGAUCCGCGCUGCAUUAGCUAGUUGGUAAGGUAACGGCUUACCAAGGCAACGAUGCAUAGCCGACCUGAGAGGGUGAUCGGCCACACUGGAACUGAGACACGGUCCAGACUCCUACGGGAGGCAGCAGUAGGGAAUCUUCCGCAAUGGGCGAAAGCCUGACGGAGCAACGCCGCGUGAGUGAUGAAGGUCUUCGGAUCGUAAAACUCUGUUAUUAGGGAAGAACAUAUGUGUAAGUAACUGUGCGCAUCUUGACGGUACCUAAUCAGAAAGCCACGGCUAACUACGUG
rnacentral:rRNA from 1 species